rnacentral:hammerhead_ribozyme from 1 species
AUCCAGCUGAUGAGUCCCAAAUAGGACGAAAUGCGCGUCAAACUGAAU